rnacentral:lncRNA from 1 species
UGGAAUUAGAUGACCAAAAGUAGAAUGGAGGUGAUUGGACAGAAGCAGUCAAUUCAACUGGGCGGGCUAAGAGAAAGUGUGACUUCAGAGUUCAAAUAUCAGAUCUAACUCUCUACCUGUGGAAGAGGGGGCAAGGUAUUUGUUCUUCCUGAAUCUCUAUUUGCUCCUACAUCAAAGAGAUGUCAAAGUACACACAUCAAAGGGGUGUUAUGAGGAGGGAGAGAAUAAAUAUAAACUAUCUGACAGGGUGGUUAGUCUCUUGCACCUGCUCAAUAACUAGGAGUUCCCUUUGCCUUCUUUCCUCUCCUCCAGUCCCAGGAAGACACACACCACACCCUCAUCUGCAUCUUCUCCCAGUCCCUGUGUGAGUUCUAAGCAGGGGAAGAGGGCUCAGCAAUUCCGGCAACUUGAAUUCUGCGGAGUGAACCGGAGAACUGAAGAAGAUAUCAGUCAGUCACAGUCAGGCCAGGGUUCCGAAAAUUACCUACUGAGAUGUUGGAACAUUUGAGAUUACAGCUUCUUCUUGGUUCUCUGCUUCAAAACAGAAGAAUAUAUUUGGAACUAAGAUAGAAACAGCUUCUUCUGCUUCAAAACAGAAGAAUAUAUUUGGAACUAAGAUAGAAACCCAAUAGGCUACUUGAUUUGUACUGACUAACUCCAACCAGAAAACAUCAAUAGAAGUAGUAGACGUUAAUCUAGUUUAACCCAGUUAUUUUGGAGAAACCUGCUGGGUAGCCUAACUCUGGACCUAUCUCUUGAGGCCUGACCAUCAUUUCAAGGGUCUGUGGCUAUCUCCAUCAAGGCCACGAAAGGGUGGACUCUCAGUCAUGGGGAAUCCAUUAGUCACUUCACCGGACCAGAGAAAAAAAGAACCAAAGAUGGGUUGCAGCAAAGAAGAAGAGGAGGAGGAGGAGGGAGAAAGGGAAGAGGAAGAGGAAAGAAAGAAAGAAAAAGAUUCUUUUGUUCCUGUUUCAGCAACUCGUCAGCACAAGGAUUUGCCAAUUAGAAGAGAAUCUUUUGACCCAUUUCAUUCUCUUAGCCAGGAGUUAAUGCUUGGGAUCCCUGGGUAAGACCCCGGGUAUCACAGACUUGACAUCAUGAAAGAAAAAUUCUAGGAAUAUGACCAGUCGUGACCUGCAGACCCCUAGGUUUGGGUAGGAUACACUCAAGCUGUUUAGUUUCUGCAUAGCUUAGCCCAAGAUAAACUGGACAAAAUAUCAAUGAUCCAGGAAUCUAUAUAACUCACAUGAGUUCUUAAUAAUUUACAUAAUUCACCAUGAUUUUGAUGGCUCCUUAAUGAUUUUCUUGGACAAAAGAAAAACAACAGCACUUAUUCCCAGCCAAAUAAAUCCAUGUGUUCAUUCUCCUUUAUAACUCA